AUUGAACGCUGGCGGCAUGCCUUACACAUGCAAGUCGAACGGUAACGGGCCUUCGGGUGCCGACGAGUGGCGAACGGGUGAGUAAUGCAUCGGAACGUACCUUUCAGUGGGGGAUAACGUAGCGAAAGUUACGCUAAUACCGCAUAUUCUGUGAGCAGGAAAGCAGGGGAUCGCAAGACCUUGCGCUGAUUGAGCGGCCGACGUCAGAUUAGCUAGUUGGUGAGGUAAAGGCUCACCAAGGCGACGAUCUGUAGCGGGUCUGAGAGGAUGAUCCGCCACACUGGAACUGAGACACGGUCCAGACUCCUACGGGAGGCAGCAGUGGGGAAUUUUGGACAAUGGGGGCAACCCUGAUCCAGCCAUGCCGCGUGAGUGAAGAAGGCCU
rnacentral:rRNA from 1 species